rnacentral:rRNA from 1 species
AUACGGAGGAUGUGAGCGUUAUCCGGAUUUAUUGGGUUUAAAGGGUGCGUAGGCGGGCUGGUAAGUCAGCGGUGAAACGCAGGUGCUCAACACCUGACCUGCCGUUGAAACUGCCGGUCUUGAAUGCGGAUGCUGUGGGAGGAAUGUGUGGUGUAGCGGUGAAAGGCAUAGAUAUCACACAGAACACCGAUUGCGAAGGCAUCUCACAAAUCCGUGAUUGACGCUGAGGCACGAAAGUGCGGGGAUCGAACAGGAUUAGAUACCCUGGUAGUCCGCACUGUAAACGAUGAUGACUCGCUGUCGGCGAUAGACAGUCGGUGGCCAAGCGAAAGCGAUAAGUCAUCCACCUGGGGAGUACGACCGCAAGGUUGAAACUCAAAGGAAUUGGCGGGG